GGGGGCAUAGCUCAGUUGGGAGAGCAGUAGACUGAAGUUGGUAUUCUAAAGGUCCCGCGUUCGAUCCGCGGUGCCCCCA
rnacentral:tRNA from 1 species